rnacentral:rRNA from 1 species
UGGGGGAUAUUGCACAAUGGGCGAAAGCCUGAUGCAGCGACGCCGCGUGGGGGAUGAAGGCUUUCGGGUUGUAAACCUCUUUCGCUAUCGAACAAGGCCCGCUUAGGGUGGGUUGAGGGUAGGUGGAGAAGAAGCGCCGGCUAACUACGUGCCAGCAGCCGCGGUAAUACGUAGGGCGCGAGCGUUGUCCGGAAUUAUUGGGCGUAAAGGGCUUGUAGGCGGCUUGUUGCGCCUGCUGUGAAAACGCGGGGCUUAACUUCGCACGUGCAGUGGGUACGGGCAGGCUUGAGUGUGGUAGGGGUGACUGGAAUUCCAGGUGUAGCGGUGGAAUGCGCAGAUAUCUGGAGGAACACCGAUGGCGAAGGCAGGUCACUGGGCCAUUACUGACGCUGAGGAGCGAAAGCAUGGGUAGCGAACAGG